AUUGAACGCUGGCGGCAGGCCUAACACAUGCAAGUCGAGCGAAUGAGGGUAGCUUGCUACCUGAUUUAGCGGCGGACGGGUGAGUAAUGUAUAGGGAGCUGCCCGAUAGAGGGGGAUACCAGUUGGAAACGACUGUUAAUACCGCAUAAUGUCUACGGACCAAAGUGUGGGACCUUCGGGCCACAUGCUAUCGGAUGCACCUAUAUGGGAUUAGCUAGUUGGUGGGGUAAUGGCUCACCAAGGCGACGAUCCCUAGCUGGUUUGAGAGGAUGAUCAGCCACACUGGAACUGAGACACGGUCCAGACUCCUACGGGAGGCAGCAGUGGGGAAUAUUGGACAAUGGGCGCAAGCCUGAUCCAGCCAUGCCGCGUGUGUGAAGAAGGCCUUCGGGUUGUAAAGCACUUUCAGCGAGGAGGAAGGGGUUGUUGUUAAUAGCAACAAUCUUUGACGUUACUCGCAGAAGAAGCACCGCUAACU
rnacentral:rRNA from 1 species